AUGUGGAAUAACCAUCUCUCCCUUUGCAAGGUUAUAUUUCUCUAUGAAGCACUUGACUUGGCAUGGCAGAUUCCUGGAAAUAAGGUUCCUAUGAUUUUUGCUUGUUUGUUUAAUAUCUCAUCUUAUUACAAAGAGGAUUUAACGCAUUAUCCUCAGCUACCUUGAACUCAAUAAGGUCAGAACCAAUUAAUGCCUGAGUGGAUAAUGACAGUGGGACAAAGAAAAAAUUAGGGUGGAAAGAUAAGGUGAAGCCAGAAGUGAGGUGAUAAAAUUCUUACUUUUUUCUUAUUCUUUAGAAAAUGUGGCACAUUGUUAUAAAGUUUUCCAGUUUUCAGAGUACCUUGCCACAUCUUAGUUUGUUCUAUGUUAGUAUUUUAAUUUAAAUUUUUGGGGAGGGCCAGGGUAGAAAACCUAGAUUCAAAGAGUGUAGGAGGGGGUGAAUAAUAGAACAAAGAAAGUAAUCUCACUGUGUGAAAGUUCCGAGUCAUUUCACAAUAGGGUUAUAGAAGCUUUGUGAGGGGCCAUGUUUUUUAGUUGUUUUGUUUUCCAUAUUUUGCUCACUCGAAAUUAGGCACCUGUUAUGGCCAAGCGCAUGCACAUUGAUUUGAAUGCUAUCUCAUUUUGCCUCCAAGUCUGUAAACAAUGUGGCAAGGUGGGUUAAUGAGAAUUUAAUGUAGCAGAAUAGGAAGACCCAAACUUGUGUUUUGUAUCCUGUUGCUUUGAAGAAGUAGUUUUUCAGCCUUGGGGAUAUAAGACUAACUCAUGCAUUUUUACACUGAUCUGAUUCCCAUAAAAGACAAAAUUUGCUACUUUUAAUUCUUGGACCUAAAAUAGUUUAUAGAUCCUAGUUAACCAUUCUGUGUCCCUGUUAAGGACAAAGUGUGAAGAAAGACAAGUGGACAGUGGUCUUAGCAUUAAAAGUAAGGGCUCCUUUGCUUGGCGGGUUAAGAGGAGAUUAAGGGAACUUUCCUGAGACUGGAAAGAAUAAUUGCACUUUCAGUUUCCUUAGAUAAGUGAGAACCUUAGUAGUACACAGGGAGUGUCAGGUCUUAAAAGAAUGCGAGUUCACGACCCAGCCUGGGAGCCACAGAGUGUCUCUGGGAAGACCUGGUGACUCCCUGGCUGGUGUGAAUGGGGAGAACCUACAUUAUGCGGCCAGUUGGGU
rnacentral:lncRNA from 12 species